rnacentral:rRNA from 1 species
GAUGAACGCUGGCGGCGUGCCUAAUACAUGCAAGUCGAGCGAACAGACGAGGAGCUUGCUCCUCUGUCGUUAGCGGCGGACGGGUGAGUAACACGUGGAUAACCUACCUAUAAGACUGGGAUAACUUCGGGAAACCGGAGCUAAUACCGGAUAAUCUAUUGAACCGCAUGGUUCAAUAGUGAAAGACGGUUUUGCUGUCACUUCUAGCUGGAUCCGCGCCGCAUUAGCUAGUUGGUGAGGUAACGGCUUACCAAGGCGACGAUGCGUAACCGACCUGAGAGGGUGAUCGGCCACACUGGAACUGAGACACGGUCCAGACUCCUACGGGAGGCAGCAGUAGGGAAUCUUCCGCAAUGGGCGAAAGCCUGACGGAGCAACGCCGCGUGAGUGAUGAAGGUCUUCGGAUCGUAAAACUCUGUUAUUAGGGAAGAACAAAUGUGUAAGUAACUAUGCACGUCUUGACGGUACCUAAUCAGAAAGCCACGGCUAACUACGUG